AUCCCUGUGACGCAGUUGGUUAGCGUGUCGUUCUUAUAAUGCGAAAGUCGCGAGUUCAAACCUCGCCAGGGAUA
rnacentral:tRNA from 1 species